rnacentral:rRNA from 1 species
AGCAGCCGCGGUAAUUCCAGCUCCAAUAGCGUAUAUUAAAGUUGUUACAGUUAAAAAGCUCGUAGUUGAAUUUCGGGGUCAGUAGGUUGGUCAUGCCACUGGUAUGUACUGGCCUCACUGAUUCCUCCUUCCUGAUGAGCCGUAAUGCCAUUAAUUUGGUGUUGCGAGGAAUCUGGACUGUUACUUUGAAAAAUUAGAGUGUUUAAAGCAGGCUAACGCUUGAAUACAUUAGCAUGGAAUAAUGAAAUAGGACGUUCGAUCUUAUUUUGUUGGUUUCUAAGAUUGACGUAAUGAUUAAUAGGGAUAGUUGGGGGCAUUAGUAUUCAAUUGUCAGAGGUGAAAUUCUUGGAUUUAUUGAAGACUAACUACUACGAAAGCAUUUGCCAAGGAUGUUUUCAUUAAUCAAGAACGAAAGUUAGGGGAUCGAAGACGAUCAGAUACCGUCGUAGUCUUAACCAUAAACUAUGCCGACUAGGGAUCGGAUGAUGUUAAUUUUUAAUGACUCA